rnacentral:rRNA from 1 species
AUUGAACGCUGGCGGCAUGCCUUACACAUGCAAGUCGAACGGUAACAGGUCUUCGGUCUGGUGGCGAGUGGCGAACGGGUGAGUAAUAUAUCGGAACAUGCCUUGUAGUGGGGGAUAACUAUCCGAAAGGAUAGCUAAUACCGCAUACGCUCUAUGGAGGAAAGCGGGGGAUCGUAAGACCUCGUGCUAUAAGAGUGGCCGAUAUCUGAUUAGCUAGUUGGUGAGGUAAAGGCUCACCAAGGCGACGAUCAGUAGCUGGUCUGAGAGGACGACCAGCCACACUGGAACUGAGACACGGUCCAGACUCCUACGGGAGGCAGCAGUGGGGAAUUUUGGACAAUGGGGGCAACCCUGAUCCAGCAAUGCCGCGUGAGUGAAGAAGGCCUUCGGGUUGUAAAGCUCUUUUGUCAGGGAAGAAACGGUUGUGGCUAAUAUCCAUGGCUAAUGACGGUACCUGAAGAAUAAGCACCGGCUAACUACGUGCCAGCAGCCGCAGUAACAC